rnacentral:rRNA from 1 species
AGCAUUGUGGUUUAAUUCGAUGAUACGCGAGGAACCUUACCUGGGCUUAAAUGCUUAAUGACGUACUGGGAAACUGGUAUUUCUUCGGACAUUUUGCAAGGUGCUGCAUGGUUGUCGUCAGCUCGUGCCGUGAGGUGUCGGGUUAAGUCCCAUAACGAGCGCAACCCCUAUUGUUAGUUGCCAUCAGGUCAUGCUGGGGACUCUAACAAAACUGCCCGCGUAAGCGUGGAGGAAGGUGGGGAUGACGUCAAAUCAGCACGGCCCUUACGUCCAGGGCUACACACGUGCUACAAUGGCCGGUACAGAGGGCAGCCACUUGGUGACAAGGAGCAAAUCUCAAAAGCCGGUCUCAGUUCGGAUCGGAGUCUGCAACUCGACUCCGUGAAGUUGGAUUCGCUAGUAAUCGUAGAUCAGCAAUGCUACGGUGAAUACGUUCCCGGGCCUU